CUACCCACCACGGGACCACCACCCUCUCCUCUACCCACCACGGGACCACCACCCUCUCCGGCUACCCACCACGGGACCACCACCGUCACCGCUACCCACCACGGGACCACCACCCUCUCCUCUACCCACCACGGGACCACCACCCUCUCCUCUACCCACCACGGGACCCCCACCCUCUCCGGCUGCCCACCACAGGACCACCACCCUCUCCUCUACCCACCACGGGACCACCACCCUCUCAGGCUACCCACCACGGGACCACCACCGUCACCGUCAGCAGGAAAGUCCUGGGACCUCCAGGAUGUCCUGGGACCUCCAGGAUGUCCUGGGACCGCCAGGUUGUCCAGGUGUGGGCCGCUUCUCCACAGAUAUUAGAAGCGGCCCCUCUCCACACCAAAGCCACUUUCAGCAGCUGGCGGUCGUCAGG